CAUUUCCAGUGGGGAGAGGGAGGGGAUCCUUUCCCUCUACACGGCACUGGUGAGGCCACACCUGGAGUGCUGGGUCCAGUUCUGGGUUCCUCAGUACAAGAGAAACAUGGACACACUGGAGACACAUCAGUGAGGGGCCACAAAUAUGGUGAUGGGACUGGAGCAUCUCUCCUCUGAGGAAAGGCUAAGAGAGCUGGGAGCACUGCUUA